UGAGGAAUAUUGGUCAAUGGGGGCAACCCUGAACCAGCCAAGUCGCGUGAAGGAUGAAGGUCUUAUGGAUUGUAAACUUCUUUUACACGGGAAUAAAGCGGGGGACGUGUCCCCCUUUGCAUGUACCGUGUGAAUAAGGAUCGGCUAACUCCGUGCCAGCAGCCGCGGUAAUACGGAGGAUCCGAGCGUUAUCCGGAUUUAUUGGGUUUAAAGGGUGCGCAGGCGGGAUGUUAAGUCGGCGGUGAAAUUUUGCAGCUCAACUGUAAAAGUGCCUUCGAUACUGGCCGUCUUGAGUGUGGAUGAAGUAGGCGGAAUUUGUGGUGUAGCGGUGAAAUGCUUAGAUAUCACGAGGAACUCCGAUUGCGCAGGCAGCUUACUAAGCCACAACUGACGCUCAUGCACGAAGGCGUGGGGAUCAAACA
rnacentral:rRNA from 1 species